AGGUGCCCGUACCGCAAACCGACACAGGUAGGUAGGAAGAAGAUUCUAAGGCCAACGGGAGAAGGGUUGUUAAGGAACUCGGCAAAUUGACCCCGUAACUUCGGGAGAAGGGGUGCUCCAGAGAUGGAGCCGCAGAGAAUCGGCCCAAGCAACUGUUUACCAAAAACACAGGUUUGUGCUAAAUCGAAAGAUGACGUAUACGAGCUGACGCCUGCCCGGUGCUGGAAGGUUAAGAGGAGAUGUGCAAGCAUUGAAUCGAAGCCCCAGUGAACGGCGGCCGUAACUAUAACGGUCCUAAGGUAGCGAAAUUCCUUGUCAGGUAAGUUCUGACCCGCAUGAAAGGCGUAAUGAUUUGGGCACUGUCUCAACAGCCCGCCCGGCGAAAUUGUAGUACCGGUGAAGAUGCCGGUUACCCGCGACAAGACGGAAAGACCCCAUGGAGCUUUACUGUAGCCUAAUAUUGGGUUUCGAUGUUGCAUGCACAGGAUAGAUGGGACACUGGGAAACAAUCGCUUUGGCGGUUGCGGAGUGGCCGUUGGGAUACCAUCCUUGCGAUAUUGGAAUUCUAACCUGCGGCUCUGAAUCGAGUCGGGGGACAUUGUUAGGUGGGCAGUUUGACUGGGGCGGUCGCCUCCUAAAAAGUAACGGAGGCGUUCAAAGGUUCGCUCAGCUUGAACGGAAAUCAAGCAAAAGAGUGCAAACGCAGAAGCGAGCCUAACUGCGAGACUGACGGGUCGAGCAGUAACGAAAGUUGGAGUUAGUGAUCCGGUGGUAUGUGAGUGGAAAUGCCAUCGCUCAACGGAUAAAAGUUACCCUGGGGAUAACAGGCUGAUCUCCCCCAAGAGUCCACAUCGACGGGGAGGUUUGGCACCUCGAUGUCGGCUCAUCGCAUCCUGGGGCUGUAUUCGGUCCCAAGGGUUUGGCUGUUCGCCAAUUAAAGCGGUACGCGAGCUGGGUUCAGAACGUCGUGAGACAGUUCGGUCCCUAUCUGUCGUGGGCGCAGGAUAUUUGA
rnacentral:rRNA from 1 species